rnacentral:rRNA from 1 species
GUGUCAGCCGCCGCGGUAAUACGGAGGGUGCGAGCGUUGUUCGGAAUCACUGGGCGUAAAGGGCGUGUAGGCGGUCCGUCAAGUCUGAUGUGAAAGCCCGGGGCUCACCCCCGGAAGGGCAUUGGAAACUGACGGACUCGAGUCCCGGAGAGGAGGGUGGAAUUCCUGGUGUAGCGGUGAAAUGCGUAGAUAUCAGGAGGAACAUCGGAGGCGAAGGCGGCCCUCUGGACGGUGACUGACGCUGAGACGCGAAAGCGUGGGGAGCAAACAGGAUUAGAUACCCUGGUAGUCCACGCCGUAAACGAUGAGCACUAGGUGUCGUGGGUAUUGACCCCCGCGGUGCCGCAGCUAACGCAUUAAGUGCUCCGCCUGGGGACUACGGCCGCAAGGUUAAA